CUGGUUGAUCCUGCCAGAGACUACCGCUAUCGGAGUCCGAUUUAGCCAUGCUAGUCCACCGAGUCUUUGACUUGGGGCAUAUAGCUGAGUAACACGUGGCUAACCUGCCCUGUGGAUGGGUAUAACCUCGCUAACGUGAGGCUAAUACCCAAUAUCAGAUGAGGAUGGAAGCAAUCUUCAUCUGUGAAACGUUCUGACGCCACAGGAUGGGGCCGCGGCUGAUUAGGUGUUGGUGAGGUAACGGCUCACCAAGCCGAUAUCAGUAGCAGGGUGAGAGCCGAGCUGUCAGUCGCAUCUGAGACAGAUGCCGGACCCUACGGGUGCAGCAGCACGAAACUUCACAAUGCACGCAGUGCGAUGGGGGNNNNNNNNNNNNNNNNNNNNGCACGUUACUUCCCUGCCCAAACUCUAUCUGAGCUGCGGAU
rnacentral:ncRNA from 1 species